rnacentral:misc_RNA from 1 species
CAACCCUCAAGCUCUGCUUGGUAUUGGGUGUUACCUUGCUGGUACGCCUUAAAAUCAGUGGCGGUACCAUUUCAGCUUCAAGCGUAGUAAUACUUCUUGCUUUGGAGGUUGGGUGUUUGUUUGCCAGCAACCUCUAAUUAUCAAU